AAAUAUCAAUUAUUUAAUAUCGAGAAGGAUGGCAUGGUGCUUCAGUGUAGAAGAUUCUUUCCUGCGAGUGUGAAAGAGAAACCCGUGAUCUAGUGACAGGUUUAAAGAAGGGACCGGCCAAACAUUUGCUUACGGUUACCUUCAUACAAGGAAAAGUGUGUAGAUGCCAGAAAUUUCAGAGCCAAAGAUGAAUUCAAUGAAUCGUUCCUUCCCCUAGACACAAGGGCAGCCUUUAUUGAGAAGUUUGAAGAGAAAGUGACAGAAUUGGCGAACAAUAGCAACAACACUAACAGUGAAUCUGGGUCCUCGGCAGCCAGUGACACAGAUACAUCAGUACAUAGUGACAGAGCAACCAGAAGUACACCACCUGACUCUACUGCAAGCGGUAAAAUAAUUG
rnacentral:lncRNA from 1 species